rnacentral:rRNA from 1 species
UACGAAGGGGGCUAGCGUUGUUCGGAAUCACUGGGCGUAAAGGGUGCGCAGGCGGGUUCAUAAGUCAGGGGUGAAAUCCCGAGGCUCAACCUCGGAACUGCCUUUGAUACUGUGGAUCUUGAGUCCGGAAGAGGUGAGUGGAACUGCGAGUGUAGAGGUGAAAUUCGUAGAUAUUCGCAAGAACACCGGUGGCGAAGGCGGCGUGCUGGACCCUUUCUGACGCUGAGGCGCGAAAGCCAGGGGAGCAAACGGG